rnacentral:rRNA from 1 species
GAUGAACGCUGGUGGCGUGCCUAAUACAUGCAAGUCGAGCGAACGGACGAGAAGCUUGCUUCUCUGAUGUUAGCGGCGGACGGGUGAGUAACACGUGGAUAACCUACCUAUAAGACUGGGAUAACUUCGGGAAACCGGAGCUAAUACCGGAUAAUAUUUUGAGCCGCAUGGUUCAAAAGUGAAAGACGGUCUUGCUGUCACUUAUAGAUGGAUCCGCGCUGCAUUAGCUAGUUGGUAAGGUAACGGCUUACCAAGGCAACGAUGCAUAGCCGACCUGAGAGGGUGAUCGGCCACACUGGAACUGAGACACGGUCCAGACUCCUACGGGAGGCAGCAGUAGGGAAUCUUCCGCAAUGGGCGAAAGCCUGACGGAGCAACGCCGCGUGAGUGAUGAAGGUCUUCGGAUCGUAAAACUCUGUUAUUAGGGAAGAACAUAUGUGUAAGUAACUGUGCACAUCUUGACGGUACCUAAUCAGAAAGCCACGGCUAACUACGUG